rnacentral:rRNA from 1 species
AGAGCUUGCUCUCGGGUGACGAGCGGCGGACGGGUGAGUAAUGUCUGGGAAACUGCCUGAUGGAGGGGGAUAACUACUGGAAACGGUAGCUAAUACCGCAUAAUGUCGCAAGACCAAAGUGGGGGACCUUCGGGCCUCAUGCCAUCAGAUGUGCCCAGAUGGGAUUAGCUAGUAGGUGGGGUAACGGCUCACCUAGGCGACGAUCCCUAGCUGGUCUGAGAGGAUGACCAGCCACACUGGAACUGAGACACGGUCCAGACUCCUACGGGAGGCAGCAGUGGGGAAUAUUGCACAAUGGGCGCAAGCCUGAUGCAGCCAUGCCGCGUGUGUGAAGAAGGCCUUCGGGUUGUAAAGCACUUUCAGCGGGGAGGAAGGCGAUAAGGUUAAUAACCUUGUCGAUUGACGUUACCCGCAGAAGAAGCACCGGCUAACUCCGUGCCAGCAGCCGCGGUAAUACGGAGGGUGCAAGCGUUAAUCGGAAUUACUGGGCGUAAAGCGCACGCAGGCGGUCUGUCAAGUCGGAUGUGAAAUCCCCGGGCUCAACCUGGGAACUGCAUUCGAAACUGGCAGGCUAGAGUCUUGUAGAGGGGGGUAGAAUUCCAGGUGUAGCGGUGAAAUGCGUAGAGAUCUGGAGGAAUACCGGUGGCGAAGGCGGCCCCCUGGACAAAGACUGACGCUCAGGUGCGAAAGCGUGGGGAGCAAACAGGAUUAGAUACCCUGGUAGUCCACGCCGUAAACGAUGUCGAUUUGGAGGUUGUGCCCUUGAGGCGUGGCUUCCGGAGCUAACGCGUUAAAUCGACCGCCUGGGGAGUACGGCCGCAAGGUUAAAACUCAAAUGAAUUGACGGGGGCCCGCACAAGCGGUGGAGCAUGUGGUUUAAUUCGAUGCAACGCGAAGAACCUUACCUGGUCUUGACAUCCACAGAACUUUCCAGAGAUGGAUUGGUGCCUUCGGGAACUGUGAGACAGGUGCUGCAUGGCUGUCGUCAGCUCGUGUUGUGAAAUGUUGGGUUAAGUCCCGCAACGAGCGCAACCCUUAUCCUUUGUUGCCAGCGGUUCGGCCGGGAACUCAAAGGAGACUGCCAGUGAUAAACUGGAGGAAGGUGGGGAUGACGUCAAGUCAUCAUGGCCCUUACGACCAGGGCUACACACGUGCUACAAUGGCAUAUACAAAGAGAAGCGACCUCGCGAGAGCAAGCGGACCUCAUAAAGUAUGUCGUAGUCCGGAUUGGAGUCUGCAACUCGACUCCAUGAAGUCGGAAUCGCUAGUAAUCGUAGAUCAGAAUGCUACGGUGAAUACGUUCCCGGGCCUUGUACACACCGCCCGUCACACCAUGGGAGUGGGUUGCAAAAGAAGUAGGUAGCUUAACCCUUCGGGAGGGCGCUUA